ensembl:lncRNA
GACCAUGGGGACAUUGGGGACAUUGGGGGCAUUGGGGACAUUGGGGUCCUGUGUGACAAUGGGGACAUUGGGGACAAUGGGGACAUUGGGGUCCUGGGGGACAUUGGGGCUAUUGGGGGCAUUGGGGUCCUGUGUGACCAUGGGGACAUUGGGGACAAUGGGGACAAUGGGGUCCUGGGUCACAUUGGGGUCCUGUGUGACCCUGGGGACAUUGGGGACAUUGGGGACAUUGGGGUCAUUGGGGUCCUGGGUCACAUUGGGGUCAUUUGUGACCCUGGGGACAUUGGGGACAAUGGGAUCCUGUGUGACAUUGGGGUCGUUUGUGACCCUGGGGACAUUGGGGUCAUUGGGGUCCUGGGGGACACUGGGGACAUUGGGGACAAUGGGGACAUUGGGGUGAGGUGUCCAUGUGUGCCAUUGGGGACACCGCGUGUCGAUGUCACCCCCCGACCCCAUUAAAGGCCACUGAACCCCAAAACGGCUCUGAGUGUCUGUGGGGGGGGGGGGGGGGGGGACAGCGGGGGGGUGACAAUGGGGACAGUGACAAUGGGAUGGGGACAAUGGGGCACUGAUGGUGACAAUGGGGACAGUGACAAUGGGGUGGUCACAAUGGGGUGGUCACAAUGGGAUGGUCACAAUGGGAUGGUGACAAUGGGGUGGUCACAAUGGGGACAGUGACAAUGGGAUGGUGACAAUGGGAUGGGGACAAUGGGACAGGGAUGGGGACAAUGGGAUGGUGACAAUGGGGACAGUGACAAUGGGAUGGGGACAAUGGGGUGGUGACAAUGGGGGUGGUGACAAUGGGAUGGUGACAAUGGGAUGGGGACAAUGGGGACAGUGACAAUGGGAUGGGGACAAUGGGAUGGGGACAAUGGGACAGGGAGGGGGACAAUGGGACGGGGGUGGUGACAAUGGGGUGGUGACAAUGGGAUGGGGACAAUGGGAUGGGGACAAUGGGGCACUGAUGGUGACAAUGGGGACAGUGACAAUGGGAUGGUGACAAUGGGGUGGUGACAAUGGGGCACUGAUGGUGACAAUGGGGAUGGGGACAAUGGGAUGGGGACAAUGGGAUGGUGACAAUGGGGUGGUGACAAUGGGGACAGUGACAAUGGGAUGGUGACAAUGGGAUGGUGACAAUGGGGCACUGAUGGUGACAAUGGGGAUGGGGACAAUGGGAUGGGGACAAUGGGACAGGGAGGGUGACAAUGGGGGGGGUGACAAUGGGGACAGUGACAAUGGGAUGGGGACAAUGGGGCACUGAUGGUGACAAUGGGGACGGUGACAAUGGGGACAGUGACAAUGGGGCGGGGAUGGUGACAAUGGGGACACUGAUGGUGGCAAUGGGGCAGGGAUGGUGACAAUGGGGACAGGGAUGGUGGCAAUGGGGCAGUGAUGGCGCCAUGGGGACGGUGCUAUGGGGACAGUGACACAGGGAUGGUGACAAUGGGACAGGGAUGGUGGCAAUGGGGCCGGGAUGGUGACAAUGGGGACAGUGACAAUGGGGACGGGGAUGGUGACAAUGGGGACAGGGAUGGUGACAAUGGGGCAGGGAUGGCGCCAUGGGGACGGUGCUAUGGGGACAGUGACACAGGGAUGGUGGCAAUGGGGCAGGGAUGGUGACAAUGGGGCACUGAUGGUGACAAUGGGGCAGGGUUGGCGCCAUGGGGACGGUGCUAUGGGGACAGUGACACAGGGAUGGUGACAAUGGGGACAUGAUGGUGGCAAUGGGGCAGGGAUGGCGCCAUGGGGACGGUGCUAUGGGGACAGUGACACAGGGAUGGUGACAAUGGGAUGGUGGCAAUGGGGCAGGGAUGGCGCCAUGGGGACGGUGCUAUGGGGACAGUGACACAGGGAUGGUGACAAUGGGGACAGGGAUGGUGGCAAUGGGGCCGCGGCGCCCCGGUGCGGGUGACACAGCGCCCGGUGACGGGGACAGGAUGGGGCCCCCCACCCCCCACCCCCCCCCCCCCCCGCCCCACACUUCCUGCCCCACUGCAGCGCCGCGGUUUCCUGCCGGGGGGGGGGGGGGUGGGGACGGGGACGGUCCCAAAGGCGGCGG